CGCGGCCUAUCAGCUUGUUGGUGGGGUAGUGGCUUACCAAGGCUUUGACGGGUAGCCGGCCUGAGAGGGUGACCGGCCACAUUGGGACUGAGAUACGGCCCAGACUCCUACGGGAGGCAGCAGUGGGGAAUAUUGCACAAUGGGCGGAAGCCUGAUGCAGCAACGCCGCGUGCGGGAUGACGGCCUUCGGGUUGUAAACCGCUUUCGCCUGUGACGAAGCGCGAGUGACGGUAAUGGGUAAAGAAGCACCGGCUAACUACGUGCCAGCAGCCGCGGUGAUACGUAGGGUGCGAGCGUUGUCCGGAUUUAUUGGGCGUAAAGGGCUCGUAGGUGGUUGAUCGCGUCGGAAGUGUAAUCUUGGGGCUUAACCCUGAGCGUGCUUUCGAUACGGGUUGACUUGAGGAAGGUAGGGGAGAAUGGAAUUCCUGGUGGAGCGGUGGAAUGCGCAGAUAUCAGGAGGAACACCAGUGGCGAAGGCGGUUCUCUGGGCCUUUCCUGACGCUGAGGAGCGAAAGCGUGGGGAGCGAACAGGCUUAGAUACCCUGGUAGUCCACGCUGUAAACGGUGGGUACUAGGUGUGGGGUCCAUUCCACGGGUUCCGUGCCGUAGCUAACGCUUUAAGUACCCCGCCUGGGGAGUACGG
rnacentral:rRNA from 1 species